UCCGGUUUGUCACCGGCAGUCUCAUUAGAGUGCCCAACUGAAUGUAGCAACUAAUGACAAGGGUUGCGCUCGUUGCGGGACUUAACCCAACAUCUCACGACACGAGCUGACGACAGCCAUGCAGCACCUGUGUUCCCGUUCCCUUUCGGGCACAGCCGGGUUUCCCCAGCCUCCAGGACAAGUCAAGGGUAGGUAAGGUGGGGAUGACGUAACACAGACUAUAC
rnacentral:misc_RNA from 1 species